UAAAGCCCAGAUCCAAGAAAUGACUCAAGGCCUCUCUGCAUUGCCAACUAACUUCCCCCAUGUCUGCUCCCAUUCCUCACUGUCCAUGGUAGACACUGCUCUGAAGUCUGCCAGCAAGUUCUCUCCAAGACGAAGCUCUCCAGAGCCAUCUCUCACAGAUGCAAUGCAUAUUCUCAUCACCUCCUGUUUCACAGCUCUAAUGAGCUGUGAAAAAUCUCUGGUAUUAUCUCAGCUAUCUUGGGCUAACGUAACCACUCAGCUUUAGGAUUCCCCUGUGGGUCCCAGCUGGCAUGUAAUGCAGAUAAGGCCAUUUGGUUCAAGGAUUAACUAGUACUCAACAGUGCCCUCAAUUCCUGUAGGCCAAGGAGGGAACUGAGCCCAGCUCUCCUUGCAUGGGGAUUCUUCUCACAAAUGGAAGGUACGAGCAGGUGCACCGCUCUUCGGUCAAUGAAGAAAACAGCAUGAGCAGAGUCAAGAAGAGCCGAGCGAGUGAAUCACGGCGGCACAAAUCAGCAGUGAAGAAGCAGGCUGCUGCAGCACCUGUACUGAAAGCCUGAGGCCAGCGAGGAGAGCGGCAGAAAGGCUGCAGUGGGAAAUGGCAUGGGGAGCACCAUAUGCACUGAGCACCGAAAUGCUGAGAAUGGCAUUUUCAGCUAUCCCAAAGACAGGGAAAACGUCUGUGUCCUUGAGUAAGGUCAAAGAUGAACUGAUCAGGACCAUACUUGUAGCAUUAGGCAAGUGCGGAUCUGCUUUUAUUUAAAAUGCAACGUCUCGAUGCUAAUUGUGCUGGGUUGCUUCACAGGGAUGCAACCUACUGUGUGCAGGUUGGAAUCUAGCACUGCUGCUGGGUAUUUCUUUAGAUGAGAAAUGAGUAUCAAGAUGGUUUAUGUAAGGCUUACAACAAAAAGCAGUCCGUUAGUCAGUCCAUCCAAUUAACCACUCUGUAUGCACACCGGGGAGAGGUUUUGUUUUGGCUCCACUGUGUUGUUGUUUUAGUUAUACAUAUAUAUAUGCAAAAAUUGUUUAAAAUAGGAAUAUAGUUGAAUGGUAUUCUCAAAGUGGGCUUUGCUACUGCUAAUAGGAUGUUUAAAAUCUAUGUAUUGCUGAACUGUUCUGCUACGUGUGUUUUUCUUUCCUGGUUUUAGAUUUCCCCAAUCUGCCGACUUCUCUAGUUGGGAUAAAGUAGGAGAAAAUGUAUUGUGGUUGAAAUGAAAACUGGCAGUUACAGCCUUCCCUUGGCAAGGAGGGCUAAGGUCCCUUCACCAACUCGGGCAGAAGGCAGAAAUCUUUCCUGGACCAUAAGAAUUCUAAUAACUCGAGGAUAAAAAGCAAUUCCCACUUAUACGGCUAAAAUUUCCAAUCAAGUCAUUAACACAGGCAGAAAGGAGACUCGGUAGAACAAUGUGUGUGGGACAGCAGAGGACUGCAGAAAUGAUGAGGAUUCGUUUCUUCAGUGCAUAAUCUAUCCAUUAGAUUGGCUAACAUUAGCGUGGUAAUUCAUGUUAUUAGUGAUUUUAAUAAUGAUUUUUUAUCUAUCAGUCUGUCAAUUGACAACAGGUUCUCUGAAGGACGCAGGUGAUGGUAGGUUGCCUGUUGUAGGAGGUGCAUUAGGAGUAAGUCAGCAAAUGGAUUCCUACUCGAAAAACUCAAUUAAUUUCCUAAGAUGAAGUUCUGAUCUUUGAUCUCUCGCAGUUUUGAUGAACAUCGACAGUAUUAGAAUUGCAGGUGCAGACAUCCAGAACAAUCUAUUAAGUUAACAGUCAGAGAGAGUUGGGUUAUAAUAAUCACAGCAUGAAAGCUACAUUUUUUCAGAGAUAGAGAACUCGAAGGGACGGAGGCUGGAGGAAGUGCAGAGAUGUGUUAGUUGAAAAGCCUUGCUCUUGAAUUCUGAUUAGCUAAGCAGGAGAGUAAAAUGCUGCUCAGAUAGGCAAGUCGUAACCAGUGUAGCAAGGCUAUUAUUCUUGCUUAACUUUUGACUAUCUCCGACCAACGCCAUGCCUCCAGAACUUCCUUGGUGCUCCCUAAAUUCUCAAUGCAAUCCCUCAGUGCUGCUCCUUUCACGAGUGUGGAAAGGGAAGGGCCAUCCCCAGCGGACCCCAGCGCUGAGAAAUCCUGUGUCUGACUUGGAACGUGGUGCACUGCUUUAUCUGCUAAAUAAAAUCUAAAUGAUAAAUGCUGAUAUAUUAAUGAAAUGUAAGUUUGGGGAUUUCACAUAAGAAAGCUGCUGUCAUUGCUUUAAUUUAUAUGGGGACAGUUAUGUGCAGAUGGUAUAGACAGAGUUAUUUCCUGACUGUCAUCCAAAGUAAGUUGAUUUGUGGUUUAAUGACUUUUAUCAAAAUGAAAUAAGCAUUUGAUCUUUGGAUUUGAUCUGGCUAUAUCUGCAGCUGCUACACCGCUACAGCAAUUACUUCCAAACUGGGCUUUUUGCCCAGGCAAAUGGAGUUCGUCCUUGUUUCAUGUCUCAUUGACUGUCCUGAUAAUACAUACUGUUCUGCUGUAGGUUUCUUCUUCCUCCAAAUUUGAUAGGUGUGAAAACUUAAGUAGUAAGUCUUUCAUUUAUUUCUUUAUUUUAUUAUUGAUGUUGUCCAGUAGUAAAGCCUCCACUACCACUAGUUAAUUUCAUCUUGAAGCUGCUCCUAGCUAUAAUUUAGUAUAUGGAUGUGUAAUUCCCUCUACGUAAUCCUGCUAUGUCCUUUUUACAGAGGAACAAGAAAUGUAUUUAUGAAUUCUAAAUCUAGCAAUUCCAGUGGUAAUCUUCACAUCUGCCUGUAUGUUUUCAGGAAGAAAUUGCUCUGCCAUGUUGUCUACCCAUACUGGACUAAAUCCACUCCUAAUGCAGUUCCUUUGAACUGCAUUAGGCAGCAGACUUAUACUAGGAAUAAAUUUACCUCCUUUCAC